ensembl:lncRNA LINC01917 long intergenic non-protein coding RNA 1917
GAACAAGAUCAAGGUUCUAUCAGUGAUAAAUAAGGGAGGCUAAGGUAUUGAGGAACCAUAUAAUGUUAUUUACACUACCUACUUUCUAAUCUGCCUCAUCUACUCACCUUCCUCUUUCUCUUCCUGUAAUCUUAUUGCAUGGAAGAAAUUUUUGGUGAAGACAAGUUGUCUGUUUUUCUUAAAAUCAUUUUUUUAGCUAGUGGUAUGUCUCGAACACUUUCCUAAUAGUUCAUUGAGAUAAAGUCAUAACAUUUUUUUUUUCUUUCUUCGCUACCCUCACUCAUUGCCCCAUUGGAAUUGACUGCAAAUUGCAAUUUUCUAGAGAAAGAAUCAGUAAUCCUUUCUACACAGUGGCCUUGGUGAUUUCAAAACUUUAAGAAUAUUUAAAAUAUUCAAGUUCUUUCUCCAAAAACUGGUGACUUUCUGCUGCUGAGCUCCUGAAAGUUUUUGAGAAGAAAGUUGAAAGGUUGAAAAUGGUGCUGUGUUUAUUUGAAUAUCUGAAGGGUAAACUCCAAGCUACUUAUCUGAAAACAAAUAUUCUCUGAAACCUGCAGAGUAAAGAAGUAUAACUUGACAUUUCUUCUGCAAGAAAAAAACAAGAAGAUGGUGACUUUCAAGACCUCAGUCAAUGACUAAAGUUCUGUGACCACAGUGAGAUAAAAUUCUUACAUGAAAGCCAGAAACACAGGAAUCUCAUCUUCUAAAUAUUUUCUUUAUCCUAAGAAAACACAAAAAAAGUGAAUAGAGUUAAGUGUAGACUAGCAGCGCCAGCACAAGUAUCACCUGGGACCAAGUUAGAAAUGCAAAAUUUUGGCUCCCACUGCAGACCUACUCUGGAGAUCUGAUAUACUUUGAGAACCAUGGCUCUGAAGCAGACUAUCCUGGACGGGCUCUUGAAAUUCUCUGAGGCUUACUUUCUUCAUAUAUAUACAACGUAGUUAUGAAUUCCUUGUUUCCAAAUUUAAAGGUUGGUUGUGAAUAUCAAGUUAUUAAUGUCCUGAAAA